rnacentral:rRNA from 1 species
AUUGAACGCUGGCGGCAGGCCUAACACAUGCAAGUCGAGCGGAUGAAGGGAGCUUGCUCCUGGAUUCAGCGGCGGACGGGUGAGUAAUGCCUAGGAAUCUGCCUGGUAGUGGGGGAUAACGUCCGGAAACGGGCGCUAAUACCGCAUACGUCCUGAGGGAGAAAGUGGGGGAUCUUCGGACCUCACGCUCUCAGAUGAGCCUAGGUCGGAUUAGCUAGUUGGUGGGGUAAAGGCCUACCAAGGCGACGAUCCGUAACUGGUCUGAGAGGAUGAUCAGUCACACUGGAACGGAGACACGGUCCAGACUCCUACGGGAGGCAGCAGUGGGGAAUAUUGGACAAUGGGCGAAAGCCUGAUCCAGCCAUGCCGCGUGUGUGAAGAAGGUCUUCGGAUUGUAAAGCACUUUAAGUUGGGAGGAAGGGCAGUAAGUUAAUACCUUGCUGUUUUGACGUUACCAACAGAAUAAGCACCGGCUAACUUCGUG